CAACUCUAAACCCUAAACCUGAAAAAACACUUAUAAUCCUAAGGUUAACUAAUCUGGACUAAGGGUUUAGAAUUGAGGGGGUGGGGUAGGUUUUAGGAAUAUGAAAUUUAGGAUUCUAAUAAAUAUAUAAAUAAAUAAUUAAUUUUUUUAAAUUUUUUUUGUGUUAACUAAAUAUAGUUAACUCAUAUAAGUUAACAUAAAUAUAUAUAUGUUAACUAAUACCGAGCUUCAUAAACUUCAUUAUUCAUUUAAGAAUUUUCAAUCAUAUGG
rnacentral:lncRNA from 1 species